rnacentral:rRNA from 1 species
UACGUAGGGGGCAAGCGUUGUCCGGAUUUAUUGGGCGUAAAGAGCGUGUAGGCGGCUAGAUAGGUCCGUUGUGAAAACUCGAGGCUCAACCUCGAGACGUCGAUGGAAACCAUCUGGCUAGAGUCCGGAAGAGGAGAGUGGAAUUCCUGGUGUAGCGGUGAAAUGCGCAGAUAUCAGGAAGAACACCAGUAGCGAAGGCGACACUCUGGGCCGGUACUGACGCUGAGGAGCGAAAGCGUGGGGAGCAAACAGG